rnacentral:rRNA from 1 species
ACUCAAAUGAAUUGACGGGGACUUGCACAAGCAGAGGAUUAUGUGGUUUAAUUCGACGAUAAACGAAAAACCUUACCAAGAUUUGAAACCUAACUGAAUCUCCGGAGAAACUCGGAGAGUCUCACAAGGACAGUUAGGCAGGUGAUGCAUGGCCGUCGUCAGUUCGUGAUUUGAAUUGUUCCCUUAAGUGGGGUAACGAACGCAACCCUCGUUGUCUGUUACACGUAUCAGGCGAGACUGCCCAGCUUUCUUUUUGCAAAGUAAUUUUGUUAGAAGGAAGCUGGGAGGAAGGCGAGGAUGACGCCAGGUCAGCAUGUCCCUUUGAUAUCUUGGGCUACACACAUAAUACAAUGGCGGCCACAACGCGUUGCGACGGGGUAACCCUGAGCCAAUCGUAAUAAAAGCCGCCCCAGUUCAGAUUGGGGGCUGAAACUCGACCCCAUGAAGUUGGAUUUGCUAGUAAUCGCGGGUCAGCUAUACCGCGGUGAAUACGUUCUCAAGUCUUGUACACACCGCCCGU